rfam:Streptomyces uncialis strain DCA2648 scaffold2, whole genome shotgun sequence.
CUUCAGCGAACCGAGGAGCAGCGGCUGUCCGUCCGUGCGGUCCUGCCCGUAGGUGGCCAGCAGGGCCUGGGCCUC